rnacentral:lncRNA from 1 species
UUUCUUUUUCUGCAUCCGCUGCUCUGUUAAGUGAUCACCACAUUAAUUGUUCUCGUUUCUGUUAUUUCUGAAAAAAAUCUUCAGGAUUCUGCUUGUGGGAGUGGAUGACAUUCUUAUAGUAUAUACAGGCUGAAAAUUUUUUGAACUUUUAUGCUCUGCUUCCGUUAUAAAGAGGAGGCCUCACAAUCAUGGUGGAAGGCAAGGAGGGAGCAAGUCACAUCUUAUGUGGAUGGCAGCAGGCAAAGAAAGCUUAUGCAGACACAAAAUGAACAAGAUGUCUGUGGCAACCCUCAGGCCAUUGACGCCUUCUCUCCUAUGUAUCAAAUCACACAUUUGGACUUUGACUGAACCCUUACAUGUCAGAUGCUCAAUCUUGAGGUAUAGUAAAAGGGAGCAUGAACUUGAGAAAAUACGCUUUCAACACAAAGCUGUAAUAAUAUAAGGUCAAAUCAGGUUCUGCUUUGGAGACAGAAAACUCUGAAGCAAGCUUUGUCUAUUCCAGAAUGUCAUAUAGCUGGUAUAAGGUUCAGGGGGCCUAUGUACAGGUUUGUUACAUGGGUGU